rnacentral:rRNA from 1 species
UACGUAGGGUGCGAGCGUUGUCCGGAAUUAUUGGGCGUAAAGGGCUCGUAGGCGGUUUGUCGCGUCUGCUGUGAAAAUCCGGGGGCUCAACCCCGGACUUGCAGUGGGUACGGGCAGACUGGAGUGUGGUAGGGGAGACUGGAAUUCCUGGUGUAGCGGUGGAAUGCGCAGAUAUCAGGAGGAACACCGAUGGCGAAGGCAGGUCUCUGGGCCACUACUGACGCUGAGAAGCGAAAGCAUGGGGGAGCGAACAGG